UACAGAGGGGGCGAGCGUUGUUCGGAAUUACUGGGCGUAAAGGGCGCGUAGGCGGCCUUCUAAGUCGAACGUGAAAUCCCCGGGCUCAACCCGGGAACUGCGUCCGAUACUGGCAGGCUUGAAUCCGGGAGAGGGAUGCGGAAUUCCAGGUGUAGCGGUGAAAUGCGUAGAUAUCUGGAGGAACACCGGUGGCGAAGGCGGCAUCCUGGACCGGCAUUGACGCUGAGGCGCGAAAGCCAGGGGAGCAAACGGG
rnacentral:rRNA from 1 species